rnacentral:rRNA from 1 species
UCCAGGCCCUACGGGGUGCAGCAGGCGCGAAACCUUUACAAUGCACGCAAGUGUGAUAAGGGGAUUCUAAGUGCUCAUGCAUAGCAUGGGCUUUUGCCAAUCGUAAAUAGUUUGGCGAAUAAGUGGUGGGUAAGACUGGUGCCAGCCGCCGCGGUAACACCAGCGCCACGAGUGGCAACCACGUUUAUUGGGCCUAAAGCGUCCGUAGCCGGUUAGAUAAAUCUCUUGUGAAAUCGUCAGGCUCAACCUGACGGCGCGCUUGAGACACUGUUUAACUCGAGACCGGGAGGAGUCAAAAGUAUUCCUGAGGGGGCGGUAAAAUGUGAUAAUCUCAGGAGGACUAUCUAUGGCGAAGGCAUUUGACCAGAACGGAUCUGACGGUGAGGGACGAAGGCCAGGGGAGCGAUCCGGAUUAGAUACCCGAGUAGUCCUGGCAGUAAACGCUGCGAGCAAGAUGUUGCGCAUCUUCUGAGGAUGUGCAGUGUCGAAGCGAAGGCAUUAAGCUCGCCGCCUGGGAAGUACGGUCGCAAGACUGAAACUUUAAGGAAUUGGCGGGGGAGCACCACCAGGGGUGCGGCGUGCGGUUUAAUCUAACUCAACGCAGAGAACCUUACUAGAAGCGACGGCAGGAAGAAGGUCAGCUUGAAGAGCUUACCAGACGAGCCGAGAGGUAGUGCAUGGCCGCCGUCAGCUCGUGCCGUAAGGUGUCCAGUUAAGUCUGGCAACGAGCGAGACCUAUACCCUCUAUUGCUAACAGCCACAUGUGGGACUGGGCACUUUGAGGGGACUGCCUUGGAAACAAGGANGAAGGUGUANGCAACGGUAGGUCUGUAUGCUCCGAAUCUUCUA